ACCAUGCAGUCGAACGAUGAAGCCCUUCGGGGUGGAUUAGUGGCGAACGGGUGAGUAACACGUGGGCAAUCUGCCCUUCACUCUGGGACAAGCCCUGGAAACGGGGUCUAAUACCGGAUAACACCGGCUUCCGCAUGGGAGCUGGUUAAAAGCUCCGGCGGUGAAGGAUGAGCCCGCGGCCUAUCAGCUUGUUGGUGGGGUAAUGGCCUACCAAGGCGACGACGGGUAGCCGGCCUGAGAGGGCGACCGGCCACACUGGGACUGAGACACGGCCCAGACUCCUACGGGAGGCAGCAGUGGGGAAUAUUGCACAAUGGGCGAAAGCCUGAUGCAGCGACGCCGCGUGAGGGAUGACGGCCUUCGGGUUGUAAACCUCUUUCAGCAGGGAAGAAGCGAAAGUGACGGUACCUGCAGAAGAAGCGCCGGCUAACUACGUGCCAGCAGCCGCGGUAAUACGUAGGGCGCAAGCGUUGUCCGGAAUUAUUGGGCGUAAAGAGCUCGUAGGCGGCUUGUCACGUCGGGUGUGAAAGCCCGGGGCUUAACCCCGGGUCUGCAUCCGAUACGGGCAGGCUAGAGUGUGGUAGGGGAGAUCGGAAUUCCUGGUGUAGCGGUAAA
rnacentral:rRNA from 1 species